rnacentral:rRNA from 1 species
GACCGAACCGACUAAUGUUGAAAAAUUAGCGGAUGACUUGUGGCUGGGGGUGAAAGGCCAAUCAAACCGGGAGAUAGCUGGUUCUCCCCGAAAGCUAUUUAGGUAGCGCCUCGUGAAUUCAUCUCCGGGGGUAGAGCACUGUUUCGGCAAGGGGGUCAUCCCGACUUACCAACCCGAUGCAAACUGCGAAUACCGGAGAAUGUUAUCACGGGAGACACACGGCGGGUGCUAACGUCCGUCGUGAAGAGGGAAACAACCCAGACCGCCAGCUAAGGUCCCAAAGUCAUGGUUAAGUGGGAAACGAUGUGGGAAGGCCCAGACAGCCAGGAUGUUGGCUUAGAAGCAGCCAUCAUUUAAAGAAAGCGUAAUAGCUCACUGGUCGAGUCGGCCUGCGCGGAAGAUGUAACGGGGCUAAACCAUGCACCGAAGCUGCGGCAGCGACGCUUAUGCGUUGUUGGGUAGGGGAGCGUUCUGUAAGCCUGUGAAGGUGUGCUGUGAGGUAUGCUGGAGGUAUCAGAAGUGCGAAUGCUGACAUAAGUAACGAUAAAGCGGGUGAAAAGCCCGCUCGCCGGAAGACCAAGGGUUCCUGUCCAACGUUAAUCGGGGCAGGGUGAGUCGACCCCUAAGGCGAGGCCGAAAGGCGUAGUCGAUGGGAAACAGGUUAAUAUUCCUGUACUUGGUGUUACUGCGAAGGGGGGACGGAGAAGGCUAUGUUGGCCGGGCGACGGUUGUCCCGGUUUAAGCGUGUAGGCUGGUUUUCCAGGCAAAUCCGGAAAAUCAAGGCCGAGGCGUGAUGACG